rnacentral:rRNA from 1 species
UGGGGAAUAUUGCGCAAUGGGGGGAACCCUGACGCAGCCAUGCCGCGUGAAUGAAGAAGGCCUUCGGGUUGUAAAGUUCUUUCGGUAUUGAGGAAGGUUGAUGUGUUAAUAGCACAUCAAAUUGACGUUAAAUACAGAAGAAGCACCGGCUAACUCCGUGCCAGCAGCCGCGGUAAUACGGAGGGUGCGAGCGUUAAUCGGAAUAACUGGGCGUAAAGGGCACGCAGGCGGUUAUUUAAGUGAGGUGUGAAAGCCCCGGGCUUAACCUGGGAAUUGCAUUUCAGACUGGGUAACUAGAGUACUUUAGGGAGGGGUAGAAUUCCACGUGUAGCGGUGAAAUGCGUAGAGAUGUGGAGGAAUACCGAAGGCGAAGGCAGCCCCUUGGGAAUGUACUGACGCUCAUGUGCGAAAGCGUGGGGAGCAAACAGGAUUAGAUACCCUGGUAGUCCACGCUGUAAACGCUGUCGAUUUGGGGGUUGGGGUUUAACUCUGGCGCCCGUAGCUAACGUGAUAAAUCGACCGCCUGGGGAGUACGGCCGCAAAGUUA